ensembl:lncRNA
CAAGCAUAUUUGUACAUGUCUUGGUCUGUUUCCUGUUGCUACAGCAAAAACCUGAGUCUGGGUACACUAUAAAGAAAUGUUGAUUCAGCUCAAGGAUUUGGAAGCUGAAAGUCCAAGACAGGGUGGCUCCACCGACUCAGUCUCUGAUGAGGGCCUCCCGGGAGCGUCACAAUAUGGUGGGCGGGAUCAGGACGUGGGGCACGAGCCCAGAGCGAGAAAGGAAUCUGCAAAGUGGAGCAGAGGCAGCCUGCUCUUCUGUGACAGCGCGUUCUCACCAGGACGAGCUCACUUUCAGAUCAGCAUUGCCUGCUUCUGAGGGCAGCUCCCCAAACGACCGAAUUAUGGUGCACCUUCCUCAGAGCCUCCUUUGCUAAGAGUUCCUCCAUCUCUCAAAGCCUCCACACUGGGCACCCAACUUUCCACACACACACCCUUGGGGAACCAACUACAUCCAAACUGUCGCAAUAUGUGUGUUCUUGUACACUACGGUUUUCGUUUCCGAAGCGGAAGAUUCUCAAAGAUUGCGUCGGUGGUGAAGGAGGCGUGGGCAUUCUGAGUGUUAACCCGAAAGGACAGAUGCUGUGUGACACCACCUGGGGACACUCACUCGCUCUGCACACCUCGACGGCCUGAAAUCCUCCUGAAUUCACCUGGGCCCAGAGCUGGUCAGCCAGAGCUGCCACUUUCCAGCUCCUUGUCUGUGUGUGUCGGUGACGUCAGCUUAUGGCCGUGCUGUGUGAGAGGAGCUGAUGCAUGCGACUUCCCGGCCCUGUCCCAAGGAGGAAGCGACUUAUGCCUCCCUGCGGUUGCCCCUUCCUGCUGGCAGGAUGCAGGUGGGAAUGAGCGUGACCGGCCUGGAUCCCACCUUGGAAGCUGGCGGUGAAAAUGGCGGCGCCUCUCCCUCAGCCCGAGCCUGCAGGCUGCUGGAUGGUGACUGGGAAAGGGCUAUGCCUCUGCCUCUCCCAAGGCACCCCACUUUGGGGUCUCUGUAUACUGCAACUCACACAAUAUCCACGGGGAGAUGUCAAGAAGGCAUUUGGAUACGUGAAUGUACAGCUCGAGGAAAAGCCUGGUGAGGAAAUACGAAUUUAGGAAUUUUUAGAAUGCACAAAUGAUGAGAGCCAGGAUUGUGGGUUGUCUGGUGGGAGAGAUAGGAGCAGGGGUCUGGAAUGCAGCCUCAAGGAAUUUCUACACUUAAUGACUGAAUUUGGGGAAGGUGAACAAUGAAAGAAAAUCAAGACUCGGUUAAAGCAGAAGAUGGAAACUCAGGACAGAGCAGAAGCACAAAAAACUAUGAGCAGAGAGAAAACCAGGAGAAGAAGGAGGCAGCAGUGAGCGGUGGCGAAGCUGAAUGGUAUCUUUGGUGGCAGCGCAGCCGCGGGAGCAGGCAUCACUUGUCAGACCAAGGGCUUGUUUGCUCACAAGCAUCAUCGCUGCCCAGGCAACUUCCUAACUGCUGGGCCACCUCUGGCAGGGUUGAAGAGAGCUGGUCACUAUUUCUCCAUCUAAUUUUUAUGAGAAAGUAUCCAGAAACACCAAAACAUUUCAAACUCAGCCUGAUGUUCUGUAGGAAGCCAUGAGCCUCUGUACAUUUCAGAUGUUAAAAAUUAAUUACAACAUAUAUUUUUAAAAUAUGAAUCCCAGACUGGCCUCAACCUCCUAGGCUCAAGUGAUCCUCCUGUCUCAGCCCUCCGAGUAGGUGGGACUACAGGAAGUCCAUUCAUCCCAUCCAAAAGAGGACCCAAAGUCUUUGAAUAUGGAUUUAAGAAGCGGAACACAGCUCUGCUUCACACCAUCCGAACAGCCAUCUGCUCUUCAGAAGGGCAGUGUUUCCCGCUCUGACUCUGGAAUCGAAAUUGAAACAGUUUUCUGAAAGAAUGUCGAAAGUAUUGGGUCUAUGUUGGGUUUCUACAGCUUG